GACGAACGCUGGCGGCGUGCCUAAUACAUGCAAGUCGAACGCUUCUUUCCUCCCGAGUGCUUGCACUCAAUUGGAAAGAGGAGUGGCGGACGGGUGAGUAACACGUGGGUAACCUACCCAUCAGAGGGGGAUAACACUUGGAAACAGGUGCUAAUACCGCAUAACAGUUUAUGCCGCAUGGCAUAAGAGUGAAAAGCGCUUUCGGGUGUCGUUGAUGGAUGGACCCGCGGUGCAUUAGCUAGUUGGUGAGGUAACGGCUCACCAAGGCCACGAUGCAUAGCCGACCUGAGAGGGUGAUCGGCCACACUGGGACUGAGACACGGCCCAGACUCCUACGGGAGGCAGCAGUAGGGAAUCUUCGGCAAUGGACGAAAGUCUGACCGAGCAACGCCGCGUGAGUGAAGAAGGUUUUCGGAUCGUAAAACUCCGUUGUUAGGGAAGAACAAGGACGUUAGUAACUGAACGUCCCCUGACGGUAUCUAACCAGAAAGCCACGGCUAACUACGUG
rnacentral:rRNA from 1 species